UCAAAAGAGCCAAUUAUGGCAUUUAUGUCCCUUACAGGGAAUUACCCGCAUGACGGAAAAAGUCUGGGAAGAAUGCCUGCGUAACCGGGUAAAGUUGACAUUGUAUUAUGUCAACAAUCCGUGUAUGGCGGGAGAAAUUUUGGCAAAGGCCUUAUCCUGUCUGACAGGAGAAAGUUAUGAUGACUCAUGUGCGGUUAAUGUCCCACUAUGGGAGAAAAAUAUGGAGUAGCUAUUAAGCUUUCCUAGUAUCGACCGUACACCUUAUAUGUAACGGUCAUUAUGCAAUCACUAAAUCCAUAAAGGAUAAAAGUAACAGACGAACCUAAAGACAAGCAUAAUACGCAAGUGUGACUUGCAAAAGUGACAACUAUAAAGAACUCUGUUGAGUUUCUGAAAUGAA
rnacentral:lncRNA from 1 species